rnacentral:rRNA from 1 species
UUCAAUUUUUGAAGUUUCUCUAGCUUUUUUGUUGGGUGAAAUCAGUAUAAGAAGCUCUUUCUUCUUUAAAAAUUAGUAGGAACUAAAAAACUUUGAUUUAAAACCAGGAUUAGAUACCCUGUUAUUCUCAGUUAUUCUUAAACAGGGUAGUAAAAGUUGUUCUUCAAACCCAAAGAUUUUGGCGGCACUUUAUCCAAAUAGAGGAGCUUGUCCCUUAAUCGAUAGUCCUCGUUUUAUCUUUCCUUCAUUUGUAAAGCUUGUAUACCGCCGUUGUCAGAUUACUUUUAGAGAAUGUUUUCAAGUUAAAAGACUUUAUAACUUCAGGUCAAGGUGCAGUUUAUAUGGGGGUGGAGGUGAGCUACAGUUUUCUUUAGAAAAUACGGAUUCUAAGCUUUGAAGCUAGCUGAAGGUGGAUUUACUAGUAAAGUAAUUUAAGUAAA